rnacentral:rRNA from 1 species
GUUAUAUGGUCAAGUGAAGAAGCGCAUACGGUGGAUGCCUUGGCAGUCAGAGGCGAUGAAAGACGUGGUAGCCUGCGAAAAGCUUCGGGGAGUCGGCAAACAGACUUUGAUCCGGAGAUGUCUGAAUGGGGGAACCCAGCCAUCAUAAGAUGGUUAUCUUGUACUGAAUACAUAGGUGCAAGAGGCGAACCAGGGGAACUGAAACAUCUAAGUACCCUGAGGAAAAGAAAUCAACCGAGAUUCCCUUAGUAGUGGCGAGCGAACGGGGACUAGCCCUUAAGUGGCUUUGAGAUUAGCGGAACGUUCUGGAAAGGGCGGCCAUAGUGGGUGAUAGCCCUGUACGCGAAAAUCUCUUAGUCAUGAAAUCGAGUAGGACGGGGCACGAGAAACCUUGUCUGAAUAUGGGGGGACCAUCCUCCAAGGCUAAAUACUACUGACUGACCGAUAGUGAACUAGUACCGUGAGGGAAAGGCGAAAAGAACCCCGGAGAGGGGAGUGAAAUAGAUCCUGAAACCGUAUGCGUACAAGCAGUGGGAGCCCACUUUGUUGGGUGACUGCGUACCUUUUGUAUAAUGGGUCAGCGACUUAUUUUCAGUGGCGAGCUUAACCGAAUAGGGGAGGCGUAGCGAAAGCGAGUCUUAAUAGGGCGUCUAGUCGCUGGGAAUAGACCCGAAACCGGGCGAUCUAUCCAUGGGCAGGUUGAAGGUUGGGUAACACUAACUGGAGGACCGAACCGACUACCGUUGAAAAGUUAGCGGAUGACCUGUGGAUCGGAGUGAAAGGCUAAUCAAGCUCGGAGAUAGCUGGUUCUCCUCGAAAGCUAUUUAGGUAGCGCCUCAUGUAUCACUGUAGGGGGUAGAGCACUGUUUCGGCUAGGGGGUCAUCCCGACUUACCAAACCGAUGCAAACUCCGAAUACCUACAAGUGCCGAGCAUGGGAGACACACGGCGGGUGCUAACGUCCGUCGUGAAAAGGGAAACAACCCAGACCGUCAGCUAAGGUCCCAAAGUCAUGGUUAAGUGGGAAACGAUGUGGGAAGGCUUAGACAGCUAGGAGGUUGGCUUAGAAGCAGCCACCCUUUAAAGAAAGCGUAAUAGCUCACUAGUCGAGUCGGCCUGCGCGGAAGAUGUAACGGGGCUCAAACCAUGCACCGAAGCUACGGGUAUCACUUAGGUGAUGCGGUAGAGGAGCGUUCUGUAAGCCUGUGAAGGUGAGUUGAGAAGCUUGCUGGAGGUAUCAGAAGUGCGAAUGCUGACAUGAGUAACGACAAUGGGUGUGAAAAACACCCACGCCGAAAGACCAAGGUUUCCUGCGCAACGUUAAUCGACGCAGGGUUAGUCGGUCCCUAAGGCGAGGCUGAAAAGCGUAGUCGAUGGAAAACAGGUUAAUAUUCCUGUACUUCUGGUUAUUGCGAUGGAGGGACGGAGAAGGCUAGGCCAGCUUGGCGUUGGUUGUCCAAGUUUAAGGUGGUAGGCUGGAAUCUUAGGUAAAUCCGGGAUUCUAAGGCCGAGAGCUGAUGACGAGUUGCCAUUAGGCGACGAAGUGGUUGAUGCCAUGCUUCCAAGAAAAGCUUCUAAGCUUCAGGUAACCAGGAACCGUACCCCAAACCGACACAGGUGGUUGGGUAGAGAAUACCAAGGCGCUUGAGAGAACUCGGGUGAAGGAACUAGGCAAAAUGGCACCGUAACUUCGGGAGAAGGUGCGCCGGUGAGGGUGAAGGACUUGCUCCGUAAGCCCAUGCCGGUCGAAGAUACCAGGCCGCUGCGACUGUUUAUUAAAAACACAGCACUCUGCAAACACGAAAGUGGACGUAUAGGGUGUGACGCCUGCCCGGUGCCGGAAGGUUAAUUGAUGGGGUUAGCUAACGCGAAGCUCUUGAUCGAAGCCCCGGUAAACGGCGGCCGUAACUAUAACGGUCCUAAGGUAGCGAAAUUCCUUGUCGGGUAAGUUCCGACCUGCACGAAUGGCGUAACGAUGGCGGCGCUGUCUCCACCCGAGACUCAGUGAAAUUGAAAUCGCUGUGAAGAUGCAGUGUAUCCGCGGCUAGACGGAAAGACCCCGUGAACCUUUACUAUAGCUUUGCACUGGACUUUGAAUUUGCUUGUGUAGGAUAGGUGGGAGGCUUUGAAGCGUGGACGCCAGUUCGCGUGGAGCCAACCUUGAAAUACCACCCUGGCAACUUUGAGGUUCUAACUCAGGUCCGUUAUCCGGAUCGAGGACAGUGUAUGGUGGGUAGUUUGACUGGGGCGGUCUCCUCCUAAAGAGUAACGGAGGAGUACGAAGGUGCGCUCAGACCGGUCGGAAAUCGGUCGUAGAGUAUAAAGGCAAAAGCGCGCUUGACUGCGAGACAGACACGUCGAGCAGGUACGAAAGUAGGUCUUAGUGAUCCGGUGGUUCUGUAUGGAAGGGCCAUCGCUCAACGGAUAAAAGGUACUCCGGGGAUAACAGGCUGAUACCGCCCAAGAGUUCAUAUCGACGGCGGUGUUUGGCACCUCGAUGUCGGCUCAUCACAUCCUGGGGCUGAAGCCGGUCCCAAGGGUAUGGCUGUUCGCCAUUUAAAGUGGUACGCGAGCUGGGUUUAGAACGUCGUGAGACAGUUCGGUCCCUAUCUGCCGUGGACGUUUGAGAUUUGAGAGGGGCUGCUCCUAGUACGAGAGGACCGGAGUGGACGAACCUCUGGUGUUCCGGUUGUCACGCCAGUGGCAUUGCCGGGUAGCUAUGUUCGGGAAAGAUAACCGCUGAAAGCAUCUAAGCGGGAAACUUGCCUCAAGAUGAGAUCUCACUGGAACCUUGAGUUCCCUGAAGGGCCGUCGAAGACUACGACGUUGAUAGGUUGGGUGUGUAAGCGCUGUGAGGCGUUGAGCUAACCAAUACUAAUUGCCCGUGAGGCUUGACCAUAUAACACCCAAGCAAUU